GGUUAAGCGACUAAGCGUACACGGUGGAUGCCCUGGCAGUCAGAGGCGAUGAAGGGCGUGCUAAUCUGCGAUAAGCGCCGGUAAGGUGAUAUGAACCGUUAUAACCGGCGAUACCCGAAUGGGGAAACCCAGUGUGAUUCGUCACACUAUCAUUAACUGAAUCCAUAGGUUAAUGAGGCGAACCGGGGGAACUGAAACAUCUAAGUACCCCGAGGAAAAGAAAUCAACCGAGAUUCCCCCAGUAGCGGCGAGCGAACGGGGAGGAGCCCAGAGCCUGAAUCAGCAUGUGUGUUAGUGGAAGCGUCUGGAAAGGCGCGCGAUAC
rnacentral:rRNA from 1 species